rnacentral:lncRNA from 1 species
CUCAUUGGCACUCAUACCAUGCACAUCUUCUUAUAUCUAUAUAAUUAUUCUUUCGAUAUUUUUGAUUGGGGUCUGGAGCUGGCAUGUCAGUUACUGCUAGUAGUUCUUUGUUAAUUUAUGAAUCAUAUUCGUUUUGUGUAGUUUCUUUUGUUUACUAUUUUGUCAUCGGACUCGGAUUUCUUUUAAACUGAGUUUCUCUGUGCGUAUUGUUGUGUGUUUGUUUAUUCUACAUGAGCUAGAUAUAAUUGUAUAGCGGGAGGGUUGAGAUCUAACAAAGCAUGUUUAGCCCCGCCGUAUUUUUGCGCCUGUCCCAAGACAGUAGACUCUGAUCUUUGUUAGUUUUUUUAUGUUUUUUUUUGUCUAAGUUAAGUGUGACGUCCAUUUUCACAUUACUAGUAUAUAUUUUUAUUUAGAGACCAGCUGAAGCCCGCCUCUGGUUGCGGAUUUUCUCGUUGUGUUGAAGACUCAUUGGUGGCCUUCGGCUGUGCUCUUUGGUUAGGCUGACUGUUGUUUCUUUGACACAUUUUUUAUUUCCAUUCUCAAUUUUAUUGAUUGAUCAAUUGAUUGAUUGAUUG